GUCGUUAUCAGGUGUUGCUUAAAAGGUUUGGUGUAGUAGACUGGUUUAGUGUUUGGGGUAGUGUUUGAGGUUGCGUUUGAGGUUGCGUUUGGGGUUGCUGUAGAUGAUUGUGUUUCCGCCUUUGAUGACUUUUCAGCGACUACUUUUGAAUAGGAUAGACGAGGAUAUUCAGCUAAUGUUGAGUAAGGGUUUGGAGUUAAAGUCUUUCUUUGGAUAUGUGGUUGGUUAUUGAUAUAAUCCGAUGCUGUCAUCGGUUUUUUCAUCUUCUGGUCACUCAUUUUGAAUAUCUUGUUGUUGUUGAUUAUCUUUUGAUUUUCCCUGCAAAUAUUCUCUUGUUAGAAAGUCGGGUAAAGAAUUUUUUUCUCCUUUAAUAUAUUGAAUAUCAAAAUCGAAAACAGAUAAUAUUGCUUGCCAUCUAGCAAAUAUUUGUUUUGAUACUAGAUUUUUGACAUCUUU
rnacentral:lncRNA from 1 species